rnacentral:miRNA from 1 species
CUUAUAAUUAGGGACAGAAGGAGU